UUUUUUUUUUUUUUUUUUUCCUUUUUUUUUUUUUUUUUUUUUUUUUUUUCGAAGGUUUUUCAUUCCAUUA
rnacentral:ribozyme from 14 species